GUUCCCCUCCCCUUGAGUGUGGGCUGGACUUAGUGGCUCACUCCUAAUAAAUAGAAUGUAGCAUAAGUGAUGGUAUGUGACUUCCAAGACUAGGCCAGAAGAGGCAUUUGAGGGUUUCCGCUUUCUUUCUCUCAGGUCACUCCCUCUGGAGGAAACCAGCUGCCACUUUGUGAGGAUACUCAUGGCCCUGUGGAGGCAUAUCCUCCAUAUGGCUGAGACCUCCUGCCAACAACCAUCACUGACUUGCCAGACAUGAGUGUGCCACCUUGGAAGCAGAUUUUCCAGCCCCAGUCAAGCCUUCAGAUGACAUCAGCCCCUGCUAAUCUCUUGACUACAACCCCAUGAGAGACCCUGAGCCAGAACUAGGCAGGCUUACCCCUCAUGGUUACAAAGUGGCUGCAACAGCUCCGGGUGUUCUAUCCUUUAACACAGAAUAACUCAAACAACAAGACCCAACAUUCAGACAAGAAGGAAAGGGACUUUUGGAGAGUGAAGAAAACUUUCCUAGAAACCUCAGACUUCUCCCCAUGCCUUAUUGGCCAGAUUGUAUCCUAUGCCCAUUUCUAAACCAAUCAUUGGCAAAGUGAGUGGAAUUGACGUGAUUAGAUUAACUUUACCAAGAAUGCAUCCUCAGAGAGGCUGAGAAAAAGUCCAGCCUCCUUUGAAGAGCCUGGCUACCUUUCACCUGAACAAAACAAGAAUUCUGAUGAAAAAUGGAGAAUGUAUGUGGAGCAGGCACCCGGAGUGUCUAUGCCAGGAUUUUUUUUCAGUGCGUUUCACCGGUUAUAUUUUUGUCUCUUUACCUUACAAGAUAUGUGGCACGUUUGCCUAAAACAAGCCUUGCUUUCUGAUUUCUGUGCACUAGGCACUUAAACCUUGCAAAUGUCGCUUACCUAACAGUCACUGUCAAGGAGUACCUGGCUAAAGAAUCUCCAGCUAGACAAAGUAAAAGUGUCUGUG
rnacentral:lncRNA from 1 species